rnacentral:misc_RNA from 1 species
GAUGAAGAACGUAGCGAAAUGCGAUAAGUAAUGUGAAUUGCAGAAUUCAGUGAAUCAUCGAAUCUUUGAACGCACAUUGCGCCCGGUAGUAUUCUGCCGGGCAUGCCUGUUCGAGCGUCAUUUCAACCAUCAAGCCCCAGCGCUUGUGUUGGGGGCCUGCGGCUGCCGCAGCCCCCUAAAAGCAGUGGCGGGCUCGCUGUCACACCGAGCGUAGUAGAUUUUCAUCUCGCUCAGGGCGUGCUGCGGGUUCCGGCCGUAAAAAGCCUUAUUUACCCAAGGUUGACCUCGGAUCAGGUAGGAAGACCCGCUGAACUUAAGCAUAUCAAUAAGCGGAGGA